rnacentral:rRNA from 1 species
GUGCCAGCCGCCGCGGUAAUACGUAGGUGGCAAGCGUUGUCCGGAAUUACUGGGCGUAAAGGGCGUGUAGGCGGCCUUUUAAGUCAGGCGUGAAAUCCAUGGGCUUAACCCAUGAAUUGCGUUUGAAACUGGAAGGCUUGAGGACCGGAGAGGGUAGUGGAAUUCCCAGUGUAGCGGUGAAAUGCGUAGAUAUUGGGAGGAACACCAGUGGCGAAGGCGACUGCCUGGACGGCACCUGACGCUGAGGCGCGAAAGCUAGGGGAGCAAACGGGAUUAGAUACCCCGGUAGUCCUAGCCGUAAACGAUGGGUACUAGGUGUGGGAGGUAUCGACCCCUUCCGUGCCGCAGUUAACACAAUAAGUACCCCGCCUGGGGAGUACGGCCGCAAGGUUGAA